GAUGAAGAACGUAGUGAAAUGCGAUAAUUAAUGUGAAUUGCAGAAUUCAGUGAAUCAUCGAGUCUUUGAACGCACAUUGCGCCCCCUGGUAUUCCGGGGGGCAUGCCUGUCCGAGCGUCAUUGCUGCCCUCAAGCACGGCUUGUGUGUUGGGCCUCCGUCCUCCUCCCGGGGGACGGGCCCGAAAGGCAGCGGCGGCACCGCGUCCGGUCCUCGAGCGUAUGGGGCUUCGUCACCCGCUCUUGUAGGCCCGGCCGGCGCUUGCCGACACAUCAAUCUUUUUUCCAGGUUGACCUCGGAUCAGGUAGGGAUACCCGCUGAACUUAAGCAUAUCAAUAAGCGGAGGA
rnacentral:misc_RNA from 1 species